AUGAGGGAGUGUGACUUCAGAGUCCAGGUCAUAAAGGACAUUGUAGCCUCACCUUGUACAUCUUAGCUCUCUCACUGUAGCCAAAGCCAGCCGCCAUGUCAGCAGAAUACUCCAACAGCCCUGUGGAGAACUGAGGCCUCCCUCCAACAGCCAGCACCAACAUGGCAGCCAUGACUGUUUCCUGAGUACCCUUCAGCUGAAGAGGAACUCCUCUUAGAAACUCAGCCUCGACCAUCCUUGUUCAUCUUGAGGCUGUAUGAACGCCCUUGACUUCCAGAAAAGAAAAGCACAGAGCGGCCCACAUGUGUGUCCUCAGACACCCGAAGGGCGUUGGGAAGGGGGGAGACCUGGAAGGUGCAGCCAGGACCCUAGGAUAGAAGCCGCAGAAGGCGGGCUUCAGCUCCAAGAGAAAGAAAUGCAUGGCCUGUCACGGCCACAGCAUGUGAGACAGGCCCCCUCGGGAGUCUGAGCAGAGGCCAAAUGACCAGCACUGGGGUUACGGUGCAGCACAGGCUCUCAAACACUCAUCUGCACCAGAAUCGCACAGAAAAUACAUUCAAAAGGUGGAUUCCCAGGGAUCCACGCCCCUAGAGGUUCUGAGUCAUCAGCCCUGAGGUGGAGCCCCAAAGCCUGAGUUUUUACAAGGAGAUCAAAGGAACACAUUCUGAGAAGAGGAAAUCCCUCUGCUGGCUGGGAUUAACUCUAGUAGGCUAUAGGGCUGGGUGCUAAAUUGGUGUUUGUUGAAUGGCUAUAUGCAACAACAAAUAAUGAAUGACUUUGAAGACCUAUUAAUACUCCUCUGGCCUCCUCCUGUCUUGGGUGAGGCAGGCAGCAGCUCUCGGAAAGGAGACUUUACCUCAGCAACAACCCUCUGGAGUCCUCAGGGGCCUGAAAAACUUGCUAUCUUCAACAAUGUUAUAUUAAAAGUCUUGGCUAACUUGA